rnacentral:rRNA from 1 species
CCUACGGGAGGCAGCAGUGGGGAAUAUUGCACAAUGGGGGAAACCCUGAUGCAGCGACGCCGCGUGAGUGAAGAAGUAUUUCGGUACGUAAAGCUCUAUCAGCAGGGAAGAAAAACCGGCCUUAGGGCCGCCAGACGGUACCUGACUAAGAAGCCCCGGCUAACUACGUGCCAGCAGCCGCGGUAAUACGUAGGGGGCAAGCGUUAUCCGGAUUUACUGGGUGUAAAGGGAGCGUAGACGGCAGCGCAAGUCUGGAGUGAAAUGCCGGGGCCCAACCCCGGAACUGCUUUGGAAACUGUGCAGCUAGAGUGCAGGAGAGGUAAGCGGAAUUCCUGGUGUAGCGGUGAAAUGCGUAGAGAUUAGGAGGAACACCAGUGGCGAAGGCGGCUUACUGGACAGUAACUGACGUUGAGGCUCGAAAGCGUGGGGAGCAAACAGGAUUAGAUACCCGUGUAGUC